rnacentral:rRNA from 1 species
UACGUAGGGUCCGAGCGUUGUCCGGAAUUAUUGGGCGUAAAGGGCUCGUAGGCGGUCCGUCACGUCGGGAGUGAAAACUCAGGGCUCAACCCUGAGCCUGCAUCCAAAACUGGCGGGCUAGAGUUCUGGAGGGGGUAGCGGAAUUCCUGGUGUAGCGGUGAAAUGCGUAGAUAUCAGGAGGAACACCGGUGGCGAAGGCGGCUACCUGGACAGAAACUGACGCUGAGGCACGAAAGCUAGGGGAGCAAACAGG